AAAAGAAAAUAAAUGGUGACUUUUUUUUGGGGACACUUCUUCCAGCGUUUGUUCUUCCUUUCUUUUCCUCUCUCCUAUGUACUUUCUUUUUCCUCCUUUCUCCAUCACCUCCUCUACUGCCUUUCAUCUUCCUCUCCUCCUUCUUCAUCUUCCUCUUUCUCCACCACCUCCUUUUCUUCCUUACAAGAUCUUCCUCCUCCCCAGACCCACUCUCCCAGUGCAAUGGGUCCAUUUUGAAGGCUUUAGUCUCUCAAAGAAAGUCGGAGAAUUGAAAAAGCAGGUGGCAGCAUAAAGUACAUGGUUCUGGUACAUUCAUGGAAUCUUCUUAGAGGCAUCUUCCUCUUCAGGCUCCUCAAAGGAUGGCUCUAAUCUUUAGCAGGAUGAAAUGGAGGAUAUGCUUGUGGUUAGGACCUUAGAUAUUGUCUGCUAUGGUUGGAGUCAUCUCCUAUCUAUUCUUGAUGGUGUAAAGCAUAUAUGUAAAAGAUAUGUGAAUAGACCUUUACAUAGUUUUAUUGGCAUUAAUAAUAAAACCCUAAAAGGUGCUAAACAUUA